rnacentral:rRNA from 1 species
GACGAACGCUGGCGGCGUGCUUAACACAUGCAAGUCGAACGGAAAGGCCCUGCUUUUGUGGGGUGCUCGAGUGGCGAACGGGUGAGUAACACGUGAGUAACCUGCCCUUGACUUUGGGAUAACUUCAGGAAACUGGGGCUAAUACCGGAUAGGAGCUCCUGCUGCAUGGUGGGGGUUGGAAAGUUUCGGCGGUUGGGGAUGGACUCGCGGCUUAUCCGCUUGUUGGUGGGGUAGUGGCUUACCAAGGCUUUGACGGGUAGCCGGCCUGAGAGGGUGACCGGCCACAUUGGGACUGAGAUACGGCCCAGACUCGUACGGGAGGCAGCAGUGGGGAAUAUUGCACAAUGGGCGGAAGCCUGAUGCAGCAACGCCGCGUGCGGGAUGACGGCCUUCGGGUUGUAAACCGCUUUCGCCUGUGACGAAGCGUGAGUGACGGUAAUGGGUAAAGAAGCACCGGCUAACUACGUG